rnacentral:miRNA from 1 species
UCGGAGGAUUAACGUCGUUUU